AACUUUCAACAACGGAUCUCUUGGUUCUGGCAUCGAUGAAGAACGCAGCGAAAUGCGAUAAGUAGUGUGAAUUGCAGAAUUCAGUGAAUCAUCGAAUCUUUGAACGCACAUUGCGCCCUUUGGUA
rnacentral:rRNA from 1 species